rnacentral:rRNA from 1 species
CCUACGGGGGGCUGCAGUGAGGAAUAUUGGUCAAUGGGCGGGAGCCUGAACCAGCCAAGUCGCGUGAGGGAAGACGGUCCUAUGGAUUGUAAACCUCUUUAGGCGGGGAGCAAUGCCGGGCACGCGUGCCCGGUGGGGGAGUAACCGCAGAAUAAGCAACGGCUAACUUCGGGCCAGCAGCCGCGGUAAAACGGAGGAUUCGAGCGUUUUCCGGUUUUAUUGGGUUUAAGGGGUGCGUAGGCGGAUUUUUAAGUCAGCGGUAAAAUGUCCGGGCUCAACCCGGGCCGGCCGUUGAAACUGGGGAUCUUGAGUGGGCGAGAAGUAUGCGGAAUGCGUGGUGUAGCGGUGAAAUGCAUAGAUAUCACGCAGAACUCCGAUUGCGAAGGCAGCAUACCGGCGCCCGACUGACGCUGAGGCACGAAAGCGUGGGGAUCGAACAGGAUUAGAUACCCGAGUAGUC